AGUGGGGAAUUUUGCGCAAUGGGGGAAACCCUGACGCAGCAACGCGGCGUGGAGGAUGAAAUAUCUUGGUAUGUAAACUCCUUUCGAUGGGGAAGAUUAUGGCGGUACCCAUAGAAGAAGCCCCGGCUAACUUCGUGCCAGCAGCCGCGGUAAUACGAGGGGGGCAAGCGUUGUUCGGAAUUAUUGGGCGUAAAGGGUGCGUAGGCGGUCUGACAAGUCUGAUGUGAAAUCUAUGGGCUCAACCCAUAGUCUGCAUCGGAAACUGUCGGGCUUGAGUAUGGGAGAGGUGAGUGGAAUUUCCGGU
rnacentral:rRNA from 1 species